rnacentral:rRNA from 1 species
GACGAACGCUGGCGGCGUGCCUAAUACAUGCAAGUCGAGCGAACCAAUAAGAAGCUUGCUUUUUGUUGGUUAGCGGCGGACGGGUGAGUAACACGUGGGUAACCUGCCUGUAAGACCGGGAUAACUCCGGGAAACCGGUGCUAAUACCGGAUAGAUUAUCUUUUCGCCUGGAGAGAUAAGGAAAGAUGGCUAUUGCCAUCACUUACAGAUGGGCCCGCGGCGCAUUAGCUAGUUGGUAAGGUAACGGCUCACCAAGGCGACGAUGCGUAGCCGACCUGAGAGGGUGAUCGGCCACACUGGGACUGAGACACGGCCCAGACUCCUACGGGAGGCAGCAGUAGGGAAUCUUCCGCAAUGGACGAAAGUCUGACGGAGCAACGCCGCGUGAGUGAAGAAAGGUCUUUCGGAUCGUAAAAGCU